GAUGAACGCUGGCGGUAUGCUUAACACAUGCAAGUCGAACGGACUCUUCGGAGUUAGUGGCGGACGGGUGAGUAACGCGUGAGAAUCUGGCUUUGGGUUCGGGACAACCACUGGAAACGGUGGCUAAUACCGGAUGUGCCGAGAGGUAAAAGAGAAAUUGCCUGAAGAUGAGCUCGGGUCUGAUUAGCUAGUUGGUGAGGUAAAGGCUCACCAAGGCAGCGAUCAGUAGCUGGUCUGAGAGGAUGACCAGCCACACUGGGACUGAGACACGGCCCAGACUCCUACGGGAGGCAGCAGUGGGGAAUUUUCCGCAAUGGGCGAAAGCCUGACGGAGCAAUACCGCGUGAGGGAAGAAGGCUCUUGGGUUGUAAACCUCUUUUCUUAGGGAAGAACAAAAUGACGGUACCUAAGGAAUCAGCAUCGGCUAACUCCGUG
rnacentral:rRNA from 1 species